rnacentral:rRNA from 1 species
GCGGCGGACGGGUGAGUAACACGUGGGUAACCUGCCUGUAAGACUGGGAUAACUCCGGGAAACCGGGGCUAAUACCGGAUAGUUCUUUUCCUCGCAUGAGGAAAAGUGGAAAGGCGGCUUCGGCUGCCACUUACAGAUGGACCCGCGGCGCAUUAGCUAGUUGGUGAGGUAACGGCUCACCAAGGCAACGAUGCGUAGCCGACCUGAGAGGGUGAUCGGCCACACUGGGACUGAGACACGGCCCAGACUCCUACGGGAGGCAGCAGUAGGGAAUCUUCCGCAAUGGACGAGAGUCUGACGGAGCAACGCCGCGUGAGUGAUGAAGGUUUUCGGAUCGUAAAGCUCUGUUGUUAGGGAAGAACAAGUGCCGUUCGAAUAGGGCGGCACCUUGACGGUGCCUAACCAGAAAGCCACGGCUAACUACGUGCCAGCAGCCGCGGUAAUACGUAUGUGGCAAGCGUUGUCCGGAAUUAUUGGGCGUAAAGCGCGCGCAGGCGGUCUCUUAAGUCUGAUGUGAAAGCCCACGGCU